rnacentral:rRNA from 1 species
GAUGAACGCUGGCGGCGUGCCUAAUACAUGCAAGUCGAGCGAACGGACGAGAAGCUUGCUUCUCUGAUGUUAGCGGCGGACGGGUGAGUAACACGUGGAUAACCUACUUAUAAGACUGGGAUAAUUUCGGGAAACCGGAGCUAAUAACGGAUAAUAUUUUGAACCGCAUGGUUCAAAAGUGAAAGACGGUCUUGCUGUCACUUAUAGAUGGAUCCGCGCUGCAUUAGCUAGUUGGUAAGGUAACGGCUUACCAAGGCAACGAUGCAUAGCCGACCUGAGAGGGUGAUCGGCCACACUGGAACUGAGACACGGUCCAGACUCCUACGGGAGGCAGCAGUAGGGAAUAUUCCGCAAUGGGCGAAAGCCUGACGGAGCAACGCCGCGUGAGUGAUGAAGGUCUUCGGAUCGUAAAACUCUGUUAUUAGGGAAGAACAUAUGUGUAAGUAACUGUGCACAUCUUGACGGUACCUAAUCAGAAAGCAACGGCUAACUACGUG